GACGAACGCUGGCGGCGUGCCUAAUACAUGCAAGUCGAACGCAGUGGGGACGGGUGAGUAACACGUGGGUAACCUCCCAUCACAGGGGAUAACACUUGUAAACAGGUGCUAAACCGAUACUGUUAGAUGGACCCGGGGUGCAUUAGCUAGUUGGGGAGGUAACGGCUCAACAAGGCCACGAUGCAUAGCCGGACGGAGAGGGUGAUCGGCCACACUGGGACUGAGACACGGCCCAGACUCCUACGGGAGGCAGCAGUGGGGAAUCUUCGGCAAUGGGCGCAAGCCUGAUGCAGCCAUGCCGCGUGUAUGAAGAAGGCCUUAGGGUUGUAAAGUACUUUCAGCGGGGAGGCGUUACCCGCAGAAGAAGCACCGGCUAACUCCGUGCCAGCAGCCGCGGUAAUAC
rnacentral:rRNA from 1 species